rnacentral:rRNA from 1 species
AGUAAGGAAUAUUGGUCAAUGGGCGAAAGCCUGAACCAGUUAUGCCGCGUGCAGGAUGAAGGCCCUCAGGGUUGUAAACUGCUUUUAUAUGGGAAUAAAAAGCCCUUGCGAGGGUCAUUGAAGGUACCAUAAGAAUAAGCACCGGCUAACUCCGUGCCAGCAGCCGCGGUAAUACGGGGGGUGCAAGCGUUAUCCGGAUUUACUGGGUUUAAAGGGUGCGUAGGCGGUCUCUUAAGUCAGUGGUGAAAGCCUAGUGCUUAACACUAGAAUGGCCAUUGAAACUGAGAGACUUGAGUCAAGGAGAGGUAAGCAGAAUUUAUGGUGUAGCAGUGAAAUGCUUAGAUAUCAUAAGGAAUACCAAUAGCGAAGGCAGCUUACUGGCCUUGUACUGACGCUGAGGCACGAAAGCGUGGGGAGCAAA